rnacentral:rRNA from 1 species
CCUACGGGCGGCAGCAGUGGGGAAUAUUGGACAAUGGGCGCAAGCCUGACCCAGCAACGCCGCGUGAAGGAAGAAGGCUUUCGGGUUGUAAACUUAUUUUGUCAAGGGCGAAGCAAGUGACGGUACCUGACGAAUGAGCCACGGCUAACUACGUGCCAGCAGCCGCGGUAAUACGGAGGUGGCAAGCGUUAUCCGGAUUUAUUGGGUGUAAAGGGCGUGGAGGGGGGAAUGCCAGUCAGAUGUGAAAACUAUGGGCUCAACCCAUAGCCUGCAUUUGAAACUGUAUUUCUUGAGUGCUGGAGAGGCAAUCGGAAUUCCGUGUGUAGCGGUGAAAUGCGUAGAUAUACGGAGGAACACCAGUGGCGAAGGCGGAUUGCUGGACAGUAACUGACGCUGAGGCGCGAAAGUGUGGGGAGCAAACAGGAUUAGAUACCCGGGUAGUC